rnacentral:rRNA from 1 species
AUUGAACGCUGGCGGCAGGCCUAACACAUGCAAGUCGAGCGAGCGGCGGACGGGUGAGUAAUGUAUGGGGACUGCCCGUUAGCGGGGGAUAACUACUGGAAACGGUAGCUAAUACCGCAUACUAUCGGAUAACCCAUAUGGGAUUAGCUAAGAGGGGAGGUAAUGGCUCACCUAGGCGACGAUCCCUAGCUGGUCUGAGAGGAUGAUCAGCCACACUGGGACUCAGACACGUCCCCGACUCCUACGGAGGCAGCAGUGGGUAAUCUUGCACAAUGGGCGCAAGCCUGAUGGAGCCAUGCCGCGUGUAUGAAGAAGGCCCUAGGGUUGUAAAGUACUUUCGGUCGGGAGGCGUUACCGACAGAAGAAGCACCGGCUAACUCCGUGCCAGCCGCCGCGGUAAUAC